UACGGGGGGGGCAAGCGUUGUUCGGAAUUACUGGGCGUAAAGGGCUCGUAGGCGGCCACCUAAGUCAGACGUGAAAUCCCUCGGCUUAACCGGGGAACUGCGUCUGAUACUGGAUGGCUUGAGUUUGGGAGAGGGACGCGGAAUUCCAGGUGUAGCGGUGAAAUGCGUAGAUAUCUGGAGGAACACCGGUGGCGAAGGCGGGAUCCUGGGCCAGUACUGACGCUGAGGAGCGAAAGCGUGGGGAGCAAACAGG
rnacentral:rRNA from 1 species